UGGGGAAUAUUGGACAAUGGGCGCAAGCCUGAUCCAGCAAUGCCGCGUGUGUGAAGAAGGCCUUCGGGUUGUAAAGCACUUUUAUCAGGAGCGAAACUACUGCCGGCUAAUACCCGGCGGAACUGACGGUACCUGAGGAAUAAGCACCGGCUAACUUCGUGCCAGCAGCCGCGGUAAUACGAAGGGUGCAAGCGUUAAUCGGAAUUACUGGGCGUAAAGCGUGCGUAGGCGGUUUGUUAAGUCUGUUGUGAAAUCCCCGGGCUCAACCUGGGAAUGGCAAUGGAUACUGGCAAGCUAGAGUGUGAUAGAGGAUGGUGGAAUUCCCGGUGUAGCGGUGAAAUGCGUAGAGAUCGGGAGGAACAUCAGUGGCGAAGGCGGCCAUCUGGAUCAACACUGACGCUGAGGCACGAAAGCGUGGGGAGCAAACA
rnacentral:rRNA from 1 species